CCCUGCCAAACCCCCAGUAGCACCGAGUCCAUUUCCAGGGCUGAGAAUUUGCCCCAGACCACGAGCCUCCCCAUUAAGAAAGCAAGCUGACUCACCGUUUUUUGGCAUCUCGGGGAGCCUGCAGGGGUGAUCCAGUUCCUUCAAAGGGUCUGUGGAUCUUCUCGGCUUUCCUGGUGGCAGAAUGGAGAGAAGUAUCAGGCAUAAGCUACAGUCAUAUAAACCUUGAUACAGAUGUGAAUUGUGGUUUGUAGUCCUCCUUGAAGAAAU
rnacentral:lncRNA from 1 species